UCCUACGGGGGGCUGCAGUGGGGAAUCUUGCGCAAUGGGCGAAAGCCUGACGCAGCAACGCCGCGUGCGGGAUGAAGGCCUUCGGGUUGUAAACCGCUUUCAGCAGGGACGAAAUUGACGGUACCUGCAGAAGAAGCCCCGGCCAACUACGUGCCAGCAGCCGCGGUAACACGUAGGGGGCGAGCGUUGUCCGGAUUUAUUGGGCGUAAAGAGCUCGUAGGCGGCUCGGUAAGUCGGGUGUGAAACCUCCAGGCUCAACCUGGAGACGCCACCUGAUACUGCUGUGGCUAGAGUCCGGUAGGGGAGCGUGGAACUCCUGGUGUAGCGGUGAAAUGCGCAGAUAUCAGGAAGAACACCAGCGGCGAAGGCGGCGCUCUGGGCCGGAACUGACGCUGAGGAGCGAAAGCGUGGGUAGCAAACAGGAUUAGAUACCCCGGUAGUCUAG
rnacentral:rRNA from 1 species